GGGGGUAUAGCUCAGUUGGAAGAGCAGUGGACUCUUAAUCCGAAGGUCACAGGUUCGAACCCUGUUGCCCCCACCA
rnacentral:tRNA from 2 species